ensembl:lncRNA
ACUGGAGGUGAGCAGUGGCAACGCUGCGCUCCUGUCCCCUGCAGGGACGAUCAGGGGUUUCUGGGCUCCGAUUCUACCCCGAGCCACAGGGUGCCCAGUCUCACACUCUUGGCGCGUGCUGGAGCGCACGGCGACACUGGUCGGUGGUGUUGCCUUGGCUAGCAGUCGCCUGGGAUCACCGCUGCCGCUCGAGGGGGCGGCGCCUCCCGACCAGGAGUAGGGCGCGCUGGUCCUUUGAUACCAACCAGUCCUUUCGGAGCCGGAGUGCGGUGCAGUGCAGCGCCCUUUUCCGAGACGUCCCAGGGACCCGGAGUGCUUCCCUGUGACAAUAGUCCUUGAGAGACAAAAACAAACAUCUGCUUAUCCCAGACAGGGAACUACUGACAGACCAAGGUAAGGAACCGUCAGAGUCUAGCUUGGUGAGCCAACGAGAUUACUGGGGCUAUUGACAGGAGCAGACAGGACUCAAAGACAAUUGCAUCACCAAACCUACCUUAGCAACCUGGAGUGUACUGCACAAUCUCCAGGCAGCUCAAAGGGUUGGAGAUGGUCCUUUCUAUGUGUCUCAGUUGGUUUCAGCUUCUUCAGACAGCCCAGCUGAUUGAUGGUGCUGUUGGUUUGAGGCUCUUUUUGGCAACUCAGCUUGUCCGAGAGUGUCUCCCAGCAGUUGUUAUUGCAUAUAUAUUUUGGAGGAGGGAGGAGCCUAGUGACUCUAGUCAGCUUUGGGGACUUCCUAAAGCCUUUGGAUUGUUUAUUUUCUAAAUUUAUACACUUCCCUGCUGGGUGGAGUAUUUCACCUGUGUUUUGAGCUUCCCUCCAAGAUGGAAAGUUUUAUCUCCAAGGAAAUUGCUAUACAGAAAACAGUAAUUCACAUUUUAAUUUUAACAAAUUUCUGGUGGGAUUUAUAUGGUUUUUGAAAUUUAAGAUCAUAAGAUCAUCUUGUCCGCAAACAGACAAUCUAACUUCCUCUGUGUGUGUGUGUGUGUGUGUGUGUGUGUGUGUGUGUGUGUGUG